AUUCAUCCCCCCAGCCAGCCCACUCGUCUCUUUUCCUGCUCCCGCUCUCCCGCUCUCAUCAUCGCGGCCCGAGCCGCUCCGCGCGCAUGGCAUUCGCUGCACACCACCAACUGCCGCACUAACGCGCAUGCGCAGAGCAGACCGAGGUUUCAGCGGCCGGACAGGCUCGCUGCCCAGCCAGCUCCGACACCCGGCCCUCGUUCGACCGCGCGCCGCGCGGAUUAACGGAAGGUGAUCGAUCGAGCUUGGAGCGCGAUGGAGAAGGUGUGGGACUCGGGGCGGCGGAUGAGCCGGAGCAUCGGGCGGGGGAUGGGGGUGGAGACGUGGGGCGUGGACGAGGCCUUCCUGCACGGCAGCGGCGGCGGGAGCAGGCGCGGGAGCAGGGGCCACGCCGACGACGACGAGGAGGCGCUGCGGUGGGCGGCCAUCGAGCGGCUCCCCACCUACAGCCGCAUGAGGACGUCCAUACUCCAGGCCGAGGCGGACGCCGCGUCAGCCGCCUCGCCAACGAACGGGGCGGCGGAAGAAGGCAAGCAGCAGCAGCAGUACAAGGAGGUGGACGUGCGGAAGCUGGCCGUGGGCGAGCGGCAGGAGUUCAUCGAGCGCGUCUUCCGCGUCGCCGAGGAGGACAACCGGCGCUUCCUCCGAAAGCUCCGCGACCGCAUCGACAGGGUGGGCAUCGAGCUCCCGACGGUGGAGGUGCGGUUCGAGCGGCUGACGGUGCAGGCGCGGUGCCACGUGGGCAGCCGCGCGCUGCCGACGCUGCUCAACAGUGCGCGCAACAUCGCCGAGGGCGCGCUGGGGCUCCUCGGCGUGCGGCUGGGCCGGCAGGCGACGCUCACCAUCCUCAAGGACGUCUCCGGCGCCGUCCGGCCGUCGAGGAUGACGCUGCUGCUGGGCCCGCCGUCGUCGGGGAAGACCACCCUGCUGCUGGCCCUGGCCGGCAAGCUGGACCCGUCGCUGAGGUGCGCCGGCGAGGUGGCCUACAACGGGUUCCCGCUGGACGAGUUCGUGCCGCAGAAGACGGCGGCGUACAUCAGCCAGACGGACGUGCACGUCGGCGAGAUGACCGUCAAGGAGACGCUCGACUUCUCGGCCAGGUGCCAGGGCGUCGGCACCAAGUACGAUCUCCUGACCGAGCUGGCGAGGAGGGAGAAGGAGGCCGGCAUCCGUCCGGAGCCGGAGGUUGACCUUUUUAUGAAGGCCACUUCCAUGGAAGGAGUCGAGAGCAGCCUCCAGACGGACUACACGCUCAGGAUACUGGGGCUGGACAUAUGCGCGGACACCAUCGUCGGCGACCAGAUGCAGAGGGGCAUAUCCGGCGGCCAGAAGAAGCGCGUCACCACCGGAGAGAUGAUUGUCGGUCCGACAAAGGUGCUAUUCAUGGAUGAGAUAUCGACUGGGCUGGACAGCUCCACCACUUUCCAGAUUGUCAAAUGUCUGCAGCAGAUUGUGCACUUGGGCGAGGCCACCAUCCUCAUGUCCCUCCUCCAGCCAGCCCCUGAGACCUUUGAACUCUUCGAUGACAUCAUCCUCCUGUCAGAAGGCCAGAUUGUUUAUCAGGGACCCCGCGAUUAUGUCCUUGAAUUCUUUGAGUCCUGCGGCUUUCGCUGCCCAGAGCGCAAGGGUACUGCAGACUUUCUUCAAGAGGUGACAUCAAAAAAGGAUCAGGAGCAGUACUGGGCUGAUAAGCAGAGGCCAUACCGAUAUAUUUCAGUCUCAGAAUUUGCGCAGACGUUUAAACGGUUUCAUGUUGGUCUACAACUCGAGAACCAUCUCUCGGUGCCAUUUGACAAGAGCCGCAGCCAUCAGGCUGCCCUGGUCUUCUCCAAGCACUCGGUGUCAACUCGAGAGCUCCUCAAGGCAUCCUUUGACAAGGAGUGGCUCCUCAUAAAGCGCAAUUCAUUUGUAUACAUCUUCAAGACCAUACAGCUCAUUAUUGUAGCCCUUAUCGCGUCAACAGUCUUUCUAAGGACCCAGAUGCACACAAGGAAUCUGGAUGAUGGUUUUGUCUACGUGGGAGCACUGCUUUUUACUCUGAUUGUGAACAUGUUCAAUGGUUUUGCCGAGCUCCCUUUGACCAUCACAAGGUUGCCGGUGUUCUUCAAGCACCGGGACCUCCUCUUCUACCCUGCUUGGAUAUUCACACUACCGAAUGUCGUUCUCCGAAUCCCAUUUUCAAUUAUUGAAUCCAUAGUCUGGGUGGUUGUCACAUACUACACUAUGGGAUUUGCCCCAGAAGCUGACAGAUUCUUCAAGCAGUUGCUGCUCGUGUUCUUGAUCCAGCAGAUGGCCGGUGGGCUUUUCAGAGCAAUUGCUGGCCUGUGUAGAUCCAUGAUCAUUGCUCAAACUGGAGGAGCCCUGUUCCUUCUCAUCUUCUUUGUCCUUGGAGGCUUUCUUCUGCCAAAAGACUUCAUCCCAAAAUGGUGGAUCUGGGGCUAUUGGAUUUCACCGCUGGUGUAUGGAUAUAAUGCUCUAGCAGUGAAUGAAUUCUAUUCUCCUCGGUGGAUGGACAAGUUUGUAAUGGACAAGAAUGGUGUUCCUAAAAGACUAGGUAUGGCUAUGCUAGAAGGCGCCAACAUUUUUACUGACAAAAACUGGUUCUGGAUUGGAGCAGCAGGGCUGUUAGGUUUCACAAUCUUCUUCAAUGUGCUCUUUACUUUGUGCCUCACGUAUCUGAAUCCCUUGGGCAAACCACAAGCUGUUAUAUCUGAAGAAACUGCAAAGGAAGCAGAAGACAAUGGGCUUCCGAGAGAGACAGUAAGCAAUGGCAGCACAAGAAGAAAUGGCAGCAUGAAAUCGAAGGAUGGGUCCAAUAACAAGGAAAUGAGAGAGACGAGACUGAGUGCUCGUUUGAGCAAUAGUUCAUCAAAUGGAAUUUCUAAUGGGAUUUCACGAGUCAUGUCCGUUGGCAGCAAUGAAGCUGCUCCAAGAAGAGGAAUGGUUCUUCCAUUCUCCCCUCUAUCUAUGUGUUUUGAUGAUGUGAACUACUAUGUCGACAUGCCUGCAGAAAUGAAACAGCAAGGAGUGACUGAUGAUAGGCUCCAAUUAUUACGUGAUGUUACUGGAUCAUUUAGGCCUGGAGUGCUAACAGCACUCAUGGGAGUCAGUGGAGCAGGAAAGACCACUCUUAUGGAUGUUUUAGCUGGAAGAAAGACUGGUGGUUACAUUGAAGGAGAUAUCAGAAUUUCUGGUUAUCCGAAGAACCAAGCAACAUUUGCAAGGAUUUCUGGCUAUUGUGAGCAAAAUGAUAUCCAUUCACCUCAGGUCACGAUUAGGGAAUCUCUGAUAUACUCCGCCUUCCUGCGUCUUCCUGAAAAGAUCGGAGAUCAAGAUAUCACUGAUGAAAUCAAGAUUCAAUUUGUUGAUGAAGUUAUGGAGUUAGUGGAGCUCGACAGUCUGAAGGAUGCUUUAGUUGGACUGCCAGGAAUUUCAGGUCUUUCAACAGAGCAAAGAAAGAGGUUAACAAUAGCUGUGGAGCUUGUCGCAAAUCCAUCGAUCAUCUUCAUGGAUGAACCGACAUCAGGUCUUGAUGCAAGAGCAGCAGCAAUUGUCAUGAGAACAGUGAGGAACACCGUUGACACUGGACGGACUGUGGUUUGCACAAUCCACCAGCCAAGCAUUGACAUCUUUGAAGCUUUUGAUGAGUUACUAUUACUGAAAAGAGGAGGCCAGGUAAUAUACUCUGGGAAACUGGGUCGCAACUCACAGAAAAUGAUUGAAUACUUCGAGGCGAUUCCUGGAGUGCCUAAAAUCAAAGAUAAGUACAACCCUGCAACGUGGAUGCUUGAGGUCAGUUCAGUUGCUGCAGAAGUACGCCUGAGUAUGGAUUUUGCUGACUACUACAGGACUUCAGAUCUGUACAAGCAAAACAAGGUAUUGGUGAGCCAGCUAAGUCAACCAGAACCAGGAACAUCAGAUCUAUAUUUUCCUACAGAAUACUCGCAAUCCAUUAUAGGGCAGUUCAAAGCCUGCCUCUGGAAGCAUUGGCUGACCUAUUGGCGCAGUCCAGAUUACAACCUUGUCAGAUUUUCCUUCACUUUGUUCACAGCCUUGCUGCUUGGCUCCAUCUUUUGGAAGAUUGGCACCAAUAUGGGAGAUGCCAAUACUCUUAGAAUGGUCAUUGGAGCAAUGUACACAGCAGUGAUGUUUGUCGGCAUCAACAACUGUGCAACCGUUCAACCAAUUGUUUCCAUCGAGAGAACAGUUUUCUACCGAGAGAGGGCUGCUGGGAUGUACUCUGCACUGCCAUAUGCCAUUGCUCAGGUUGUCAUGGAGAUACCCUAUGUCUUCGUCCAAACCUCGUAUUACACCCUCAUCGUAUACGCCAUGAUGAGCUUCCAGUGGACAGCUGCCAAGUUCUUCUGGUUCUUCUUCGUCUCCUACUUUUCCUUCCUCUACUUCACCUACUACGGGAUGAUGACUGUAUCAAUCUCACCGAACCAUGAGGUUGCGGGCAUCUUUGCCGCAGCUUUCUAUUCCCUAUUCAACCUUUUCUCUGGCUUCUUCAUCCCAAGACCGAAAAUCCCCAAGUGGUGGAUCUGGUACUACUGGAUUUGCCCAUUGGCAUGGACAGUGUAUGGGCUCAUAGUUACACAAUACGGAGACAUGGAAGACACCAUCACCGUCCCAGGCCAACCUAACCAGACAAUCAGCUACUACAUAACUCAUCAUUUUGGAUACCACAGGAGCUUCAUGGCGGUCGUUGCACCAGUGCUUGUGCUCUUUGCAGUGUUCUUCGCUUUCAUGUAUGCUCUCUGCCUCAAGAAGUUGAACUUCCAAACACGGUAGGAGCAGAAAGCCAACAGACAAGAUCUCGCAGGCGAUAUGGUCGAUUUUUCUUGAACCAACUCUUCUUUUGUCCUUCCAUUUUUGGGUCUAUUUAUGCAGUGCCAGUGUAAAUACAGGUGUAGUUUUUUGUAUUCCUUACAUAGUCAAAUGCGAUGAGGGUGCACCAGCCUUUCAGGCUUGGAAGUGUAUUGAAUUGCAAAUUUGCAAGACUGUGCGAUGAGCAGAAUUUGUUCAUGGCCUAUAAAUACGUUGGAGUUUUUUCUUUCACAAAGUUCAC
rnacentral:rRNA from 1 species